UACGUAGGUGGCAAGCGUUAUCCGGAUUUAUUGGGCGUAAAGGGAACGCAGGCGGUCUUCUAAGUCUGAUGUGAAAGCCUUCGGCUUAACCGGAGUAGUGCAUUGGAAACUGGGAGACUUGAGUGCAGAAGAGGAGAGUGGAACUCCAUGUGUAGCGGUGAAAUGCGUAGAUAUAUGGAAGAACACCAGUGGCGAAAGCGGCUCUCCGGUCUGUAACUGACGCUGAGGUUCGAAAGCGUGGGUAGCAAACAGG
rnacentral:rRNA from 1 species